rnacentral:rRNA from 1 species
CGAGAGUCUGAACCAGCCAAGUAGCGUGAAGGAUGAAGGUCCUACGGAUUGUAAACUUCUUUUAUAAGGGAAUAAACCCUCCCACGUGUGGGAGCUUGUAUGUACCUUAUGAAUAAGCAUCGGCUAACUCCGUGCCAGCAGCCGCGGUAAUACGGAGGAUGCGAGCGUUAUCCGGAUUUAUUGGGUUUAAAGGGAGCGCAGACGGGUCGUUAAGUCAGCUGUGAAAGUUUGGGGCUCAACCUUAAAAUUGCAGUUGAUACUGGCGUCCUUGAGUGCGGUUGAGGUGUGCGGAAUUCGUGGUGUAGCGGUGAAAUGCUUAGAUAUCACGAAGAACUCCGAUUGCGAAGGCAGCACACUAAUCCGUAACUGACGUUCAUGCUCGAAAGUGUGGGUAUCAAACAGGAUUAGAUACCCUGGUAGUCCACACGGUAAACGAUGGAUACUCGCUGUUGGCGAUAUACUGUCAGCGGCUUAGCGAAAGCGUUAAGUAUCCCACCUGGGGAGUACGCCGGCAACGGUGCAACUCAAAGGAAUUGACGG